rnacentral:rRNA from 1 species
GUGCCAGCAGCCGCGGUAAUACCGGCUGCUCAGUGAUAACCACUAUUACUGGGUUUAAAGCGUCCGUACUGAUUGUUAGGUCUUCUUGGGAAAUCUUCACGCUCAACGUGAAGGCGUCUAAAGAUACCGGCAAUCUUGGAACUGGGAGAGGUAAACCGUACUUCGGGGGUAGAGUGAAAUCUUGUAAUCCUCGAGGGACGACCUAUGGCGAAGCAGUUUACCAGAACAGCUUCGACAGUGAGGGACGAAAGCUGGGGGAGCAAACGGGAUUAGAUACCCCGGUAGUCCCAGCCGUAAACAAUGUGCGUUAGUGUCUGUCGGUAACCACGUGUUACUGAUGAGCCGAAGAGAAAUCGUGAAACGCACCACCUGGGAAGUACGGUCGCAAGGCUGAAACUUAAAGGAAUUGGCGGGGGAGCACCACAACAGGUGGAGCCUGCGGUUUAAUUGGAUUCAACGCCGGACAUCUCACCGGGUAAGACAGCUGUAUGAUUGUCAAUCUGAAGGUUUUACAUGACUAGCUGAGAGGAGGUGCAUGGCCGUCGUCAGUUCGUACUGUGAAGCAUCCUGUUAAGUCAGGCAACGAGCGAGACCCACGCCGACAAUUGCCAGCGGCAUCUUCGGAUGGCCGGGGACAUUGUCGGGACCGCCUCUGCUAAAGAGGAGGAACGGAAUGGGCAACGGUAGGUCAGCAUGCCCCGAAUUAUCCGGGCUACACGCGGGCUACAAUGGGCGGGACAAUGGGUAACGACACCGAA